GAUGAACGCUGGCGGCGUGCCUAAUACAUGCAAGUCGAGCGAACAGAUGAGGCGCUUGCUCCUCUGACGUUAGCGGCGGACGGGUGAGUAACACGUGGAUAACCUACCUAUAAGACUGGGAUAACUUCGGGAAACCGGAGCUAAUACCGGAUAAUAUAUUGAACCGCAUGGUUCAAUAGUGAAAGACGGUUUUGCUGUCACUUAUAGAUGGAUCCGCGCCGCAUUAGCUAGUUGGUAAGGUAACGGCUUACCAAGGCAACGAUGCGUAGCCGACCUGAGAGGGUGAUCGGCCACACUGGAACUGAGACACGGUCCAGACUACUAAGGGAGGCAGCAGUAGGGAAUCUUCCGCAAUGGGCGAAAGCCUGACGGAGCAACGCCGCGUGAGUGAUGAAGGUCUUCGGAUCGUAAAACUCUGUUAUUAGGGAAGAACAAAUGUGUAAGUAACUAUGCACGUCUUGACGGUACCGAAUCAGAAAGCCACGGCUAACUACGUG
rnacentral:rRNA from 1 species